rnacentral:rRNA from 1 species
CACGUAGGGUGCGAGCGUUGUCCGGAAUGAUUGGGCGUAAAGCGUCUGUAGGUGGCUUUUUAAGUCCGCCGUCAAAUCCCAGGGCUCAACUCUGGACAGGCGGUGGAAACUACCAAGCUGGAGUACGGUAGGGGCAGAGGGAAUUUCCGGUGGAGCGGUGAAAUGCGUAGAUAUCAAGAGGAACACCAGAGGCGAAGGCGGCCUGCUGGGCUGCACCUGACGCUGAACCGCGAAAGCCAGGGGAGCGAACGGG